rnacentral:rRNA from 1 species
ACGAACGCUGGCGGCAGGCUUAACACCUGCAAGUCGAGCGCCCCGCAAGGGGAGCGGCAGCCGGGUGAGUAACGCGUGGGAACGUACCUUUUGGUUCGGAACAACUCCGGGAAACUGGAGCUAAUACCGGAUAAGCCCUAACGGGGAAAGAUUUAUCGCCGAAAGAUCGGCCCGCGUCUGAUUAGCUAGUUGGUGAGGUAACGGCUCACCAAGGCGACGAUCAGUAGCUGGUCUGAGAGGAUGAUCAGCCACACUGGGACUGAGACACGGCCCAGACUCCUACGGGAGGCAGCAGUGGGGAAUAUUGGACAAUGGGCGCAAGCCUGAUCCAGCCAUGCCGCGUGAGUGAUGAAGGCCUUAGGGUUGUAAAGCUCUUUUGUCCGGGAAGAUAAUGACUGUACCGGAAGAAUAAGCCCCGGCUAACUUCGUG